rnacentral:rRNA from 1 species
GAUGAACGCUGGCGGCGUGCCUAAUACAUGCAAGUCGAACGCGCAGCGAGAGGUGCUUGCACCUUUCAAGCGAGUGGCGAACGGGUGAGUAACACGUGGAUAACCUGCCUCAAGGCUGGGGAUAACAUUUGGAAACAGAUGCUAAUACCGAAUAAAACUUAGUAUCGCAUGAUAUCAAGUUAAAAGGCGCUACGGCGUCACCUAGAGAUGGAUCCGCGGUGCAUUAGUUAGUUGGUGGGGUAAAGGCUUACCAAGACGAUGAUGCAUAGCCGAGUUGAGAGACUGAUCGGCCACAUUGGGACUGAGACACGGCCCAAACUCCUACGGGAGGCUGCAGUAGGGAAUCUUCCACAAUGGGCGCAAGCCUGAUGGAGCAACGCCGCGUGUGUGAUGAAGGCUUUCGGGUCGUAAAGCACUGUUGUAUGGGAAGAAAUGCUAAAAUAGGGAAUGAUUUUAGUUUGACGGUACCAUACCAGAAAGGGACGGCUAAAUACGUGCCAGCAGCCGCGGUAAUACGUAUGUCCCGAGCGUUAUCCGGAUUUAUUGGGCGUAAAGCGAGCGCAGACGGUUGAUUAAGUCUGAUGUGAAAGCCCGGAGCUCAACUCCGGAAU